UACGAAGGGGGCUAGCGUUGUUCGGAAUUACUGGGCGUAAAGGGCGCGCAGGCGGCCCUCCAAGUCAGGCGUGAAAGCCCCGGGCUCAACCCGGGAAUAGCGCUUGAGACUGGGGGGCUUGAGUUCGGGAGAGGAGAGUGGAAUUCCCGGUGUAGCGGUGAAAUGCGCAGAUAUCGGGAAGAACACCCGUGGCGAAGGCGGCACUCUGGGACGGUACUGACGCUGAGACGCGAAAGCGUGGGGAGCGAACAGG
rnacentral:rRNA from 1 species